UCAUAAGCCUAUCACAAUGUUG
rnacentral:siRNA from 1 species